rnacentral:rRNA from 1 species
AUUGAACGCUGGCGGCAGGCCUAACACAUGCAAGUCGAACGAGUGGCGGACGGGUGAGUAAGGUCUGGGAAACUGCCCGAUGGAGGGGGAUAACUACUGGAAACGGUAGCUAAUACCGCAUACCAUCGGAUGUGCCCAGAUGGUAUUAGCCAGUAGGGGGGGUAACGGCUCACCUAGGAGACGAUCCCUAGCUGGUCGGAGAGGAUGACCAGCCCUACUGGAACUGAGACACGGUCCAGACUCCGACGGGAGGUAGCAGUGGUGAAUAUUGCACAAUAGGGGCAAGCCGGAUGCAGCCAUGCCGCGUGUAUUAAUAAGGCAUUCGGGUUGUAAUGUACCUUCAUCAGGGAGGCGUUACUCCCAGAAGAAGCGCCGGCUAACUCCGUGCCAGCCGCCGCGGUAAUUC